rnacentral:rRNA from 1 species
UACGUAGGGUGCAAGCGUUAAUCGGAAUUACUGGGCGUAAAGCGUGCGCAGGCGGUGAUGUAAGACAGAUGUGAAAUCCCCGGGCUCAACCUGGGAAUUGCAUUUGUGACUGCAUCGCUGGAGUGCGGCAGAGGGGGAUGGAAUUCCGCGUGUAGCAGUGAAAUGCGUAGAUAUGCGGAGGAACACCGAUGGCGAAGGCAAUCCCCUGGGCCUGCACUGACGCUCAUGCACGAAAGCGUGGGGAGCAAACAGG